AUGGCCGCGCCUGCCCCGGUCACACGGCAGGUUAGCGGCGGCGCCGCCCUGGUCCCGGCCCCGAGCGGCCCAGACCGCGGGCAGCCCCUGGCAACCGCCACGGCCGAGCUGCCGGUGCUGGACGCCGCAGGCAGCGGGUACCGUUCGGCGCGCUGUUCCGGGAGCGCCGCGCCGUGGUGGUGUUCGUGCGGCAUUUCCUGUGUUACAUCUGCAAGGAAUACGUAGAGGAUCUGGCCAAAAUCCCCGAGAGUUUCUUACAAGAAGCAAAUGUCACCCUUACAGUGAUUGGACAGUCAUCCUACCAUCAUAUUGAGCCUUUUUGCAAACCGACUGGAUAUUCUCAUGAAAUCUAUGUCGAUCCUGAGAGAGAAAUUUAUAAAAGAUUGGGAAUGAAAAGAGGUGAAGAAAUUGCCGCCUCACGACAGAGCCCCCACGUAAAAUCAAAUCUGCUCUCAGGAAGCCUUCAGAGCCUGUGGCGGGCAGUGACUGGCCCUCAGUUUGAUUUUCAAGGAGACCCAGCUCAGCAAGGUGGAAUCCUCAUUUUAGGUCCAGUUAACAUCCAUUUUAUACACUGUGAUAGGAAUAGGUUGGAUCACAAACCUAUCAACUCUGUUUUACAGCUUGUAGGAGUUCAGCAUGUGAACUUUACAAACAACUUCAGUUAUCCAUGUGUGACUUAAAAUGCAAUCAGUCACUUUUAGCUGGACCUUCUGGAAUGUGACCUUCAGUGCCAGGGUGUAAUAUCCUCGUGCAGUGUCUAACCUGCUGUCCCUUCCCAGCCUUUGAGGAGUUAGGGAAGCAUAAAGGGGGCUUGAACCAGUUGAAUUGCAUGCUGGGAGGCAUCAGUUGUCAAAAAUGUG